UACUAAAUUUAGUUUUUCAGUUGUUCUUGCGUUCAAAAAGAAGAUAAAUGAUAUCUAGCAUGAAAUAGUGAUCUUCAGAAGCAGACAUGACUUUUCAAGAUGAUUUGAUAAGAUUCAAAAACUGACGUUUAAAGAAUCUGUCAAGGUUUUAUUUCUGCGAGAGUUAAUGUGUUAAUGACAGAAUUAAAUGCUCAGAAAGAUACCGUUAUGUUUGUACCAUUGAGUAAAUAUUUAUGGAAGACCACCAGAUGUAUUUUUUUCAUUUGAAAGCUGAUAAAUAUGUCGACAACUUCCGAAGGAAGAACUGAAGUUCUUAGCACACAAAUUGCAUCAUAUCUACCUCCACCUGCAAGGUUUCCCAACGCUCCAAACGCCGUCAGAGUACCGUCCAGACCUGCAAAACGGCCGCCACCUAGACAACCAUACUAUCCAGUACCACCACAGACCAACCCAAGACCUCAAUAUACCCAUGAAGCCAACCAAAAGAGUGAAGAGCUAAAAGAGGUCAUCACCCAACAACCACAGACACAGCCACCAGCAAGAAGAAUGGCAGAUUCUUUAGAAGAAUACGAGGACAGUACAGGUUAUAAACGUAAGGAAGAAAAGCAACCUAUCAUCAGGCCAAAGCCCAGAACUGAGAAAAAGAAUCCUCAAAAGAAAAGAGUAAAAGCAGAAUCUGAAAGAAAUUGCUGUUGUUUCUGUUGUCAAACUCUUUGUUAUGAAGUGUGCACGCAAUUUCAAACGCAAUUACUAUGAAUUGAAUGACUUUUCAUAUUUGAACAAUUAAGCUGAAUUAGCAUUACAGAUUAUGAAGUAUUCCUGUAAACUACUUCUGAAAACAACUUUGAAAGAAGAAAAGUAUUUUUGAAAUGUUUAUAACUAUUGAAGCUAUUGCAUAACAAGAUUUUUUAAUAUUUAUUUAUUUAUGAAAGCAAUCUAUAAGUAUCGUUCUGUCCAUGUUACAUCCCUGUAUAUUAAAGAUAUAUGAAAUCCUUAAGCCUUGGAUUAUUGAGGAAAAAACUGCUGGUAAAGAAAAAUGGUGCUAUCAGGAAGAAAAAUCUUCAUUUUCACAGCCUAUUUAGAGCUUGAGAUUUAAAGUUGAAACAUAUGUAACAAAUGUGUGGAACAAAGUAAAAUACUGUACAAAAUAAGUUCAUGCAAAUAAAUAAAUGAUUUUUUUU